UGGGGAAUAUUGGACAAUGGGGGAAACCCUGAUCCAGCAAUACCGCGUGGGUGAAGAAGGCCUUCGGGUUGUAAAGCCCUUUAGGCGGGGAAGAAGGUUUUAGGGUGAUAAGCCUUAAAACUUGACGGUACCCGCAGAAUAAGCACCGGCUAACUCUGUGCCAGCAGCCGCGGUAAUACAGAGGGUGCUAGCGUUAAUCGGAUUUACUGGGCGUAAAGGGCGUGUAGGUGGUAAAGCAAGUAAGAUGUGAAAGCCCUGGGCUUAACCUGGGAAGUGCAUCUUAAACUGCUUAACUAGAGUACGGUAGAGGGUAGUGGAAUUUCCGGUGUAGCGGUGAAAUGCGUAGAGAUCGGAAGGAACGCCAGUGGUGAAGACGACUACCUGGACCGAUACUGACACUGAGGCGCGAGAGCGUGGGGAGCGAACAG
rnacentral:rRNA from 1 species